GGCAGUAGUACAUCAUUGGUUAAGAUGUUGGACUACUGAUUCGAAAGUCAUGAGUUCAAAUCCCAAGCCUGCCU